rnacentral:rRNA from 1 species
CACACUGUAAACGAUGAAUGCUAGGUAUAGUUGGUAUCGACCCCAACUGUGCCGUCGCAAACGCAAUAAGCAUUCCGCCUGGGGAGUACGGUCGCAAGAUUAAAACUCAAAGGAAUUGACGGGGGCCCGCACAAGCAGCGGAGCAUGUGGUUUAAUUCGAAGCAACGCGAAGAACCUUACCAGGUCUUGACAUCUGAUUAAAGCUGUAGAGAUACAGUGUGUGCAAGCACGAAUCAAGACAGGUGG